CUUGUCUUCACGCAAUUUGCCUGAUCUCCAGAGGACAAAGAAAACUAUUAGAUCUGGAAAGCAAAAUCAUGAUUUUUGCUUUAAAAAAAAUCAGCAAAACAAUGCCAAGACGCACCAUCGUCUGCCCUAAAGAGAGAAGCAUUUGUAUGGCUAUUGUGAAUGCUGGUAUCCUUCACUAAACUGCUAGAUCUUCACGACGAACAAGCAUAGAUUUCCAUUCCUCAGCUGAGAUUGAUCUAUUAUGUGAGUAGUUACUUUGAGUUAC